rfam:Aphanomyces astaci strain APO3 cont1.3685, whole genome shotgun sequence.
CCCUUAGAUGUUCUGGGCCGCACGCGCGCUACACUGGUACGCUCAACGAGUAUAUAACCUUGAUCGAUAGGUCUGGGUAAUCUUUUGAAUACGUAUCGUGCUAGGGAUAGAUUAUUGCAAUUAUUAAUCUUGAACGAGGAAUUCCUAGUAAACGCAAGUCAUCAGCUUGCAUUGAUUACGUCCCUGCCCUUUGUACACACCGCCCGUCGCACCUACCGAUUGAAUGACUCGGUGAGAAAUUGGGACCGUUGUUUCGCUUGCUUCAUUGUGAGUGGAACGGUGGGAACUUUUUCUAACCUCGCCAUUUAGAGGAAGGUGAAGUCGUAACAAGGUUUCCGUAGGUGAACCUGCGGAAGGAUCAUUA